ensembl:lncRNA
CGGGACCCAUCUGGGAAGGGCGAGCGUAAGGACCACAUGCGAUCUAGCCAGCAGGGCGUGCUCCUUCCAAACCCAGGACUCAGGUUUGCAGGGUUGGCCUGCUUUACAGAAAGGGCAACUGAGGCCCAAGGAGCGAGAUCACCUGUAGCCCCAAGUCAGAUAGUCCCAUUCACUUGUUCAUCUUUUAUUCAUUCAACAAACACUUUCGCAGCACGUACGGUGUGGGUUAGGAGUGGAGUAGAGGCAAACUUGGCAGUCCCUUAAGGAGCUGGGUCAAGCAGGACAGGAGAUUUCUCGGGGUCACUAACGCAUGAUAAAGGAGCCCAGAAUCGGGCUGUUUCCCCUUCCUACCUCAAAGCUUUCGUGGUUUUGCUAUUCCCAACCUGAAAUGCCUUCCUGUCACCCCCAUAUACCCAAGCACCAAUCAUCUUUAAAACCUCUGUCCUCAUCGUAGGUGAUCUUUCAGCAUCGUCUGACCCGGCAGUCAGGGUUUUUCUCUGUCUCACUAGCUGCUCCUCUUCAAGUGCCCAGCAUCCACCCCUUCUCUGCCUCUCCUGUUGGGGUGUUAGGGUGGCCCAUGGCUCUGGCCGGAUGUGCUUCUAUUCGACAGACCCUCUCCCAGUCAUGCUCUCCCAGGCUUUAAGCAGCAUCCACAUACUGGAGUGACUGCCAGAUCCGUAUUUCCAGGCCAGACCUCGCCCAGGAGGCAUCGCAAACCUCUCGGGGAAAACAAAGUGCUUUAUUCACCGCCCCCCAACCUGCUCCUCCACAUUCUUCUCUUUCUCAGUAAAUGGCCACUCUAUCCACGGGGCUGCUCAGGUUAAAAUCGGAAAGCGUCCUUGAGUGCAUCCUUUCCCUCGCCCCCUUGUGCAGUCCUUCCCUGCACUCCCCCAGCACGCACUGCCUCCCCUUUACAGCGUCAGCCGGAGUUUUCCGUCUGAGUGGCUGUCCCCCACCCCUGGUGAAGUGUGACCCUUCUAGGACAAGGCAGGGGCCUGACUGAUUCAUUUCUGUGUGCAGAACAGGGCCUGGCGCCCUGAAGGCACUCGGGGAAAGCUGGUAGAGGGAUGGAUGAAUGGGUAAGGUCUUGACGGUGACCGGGGUGGACCCCAGCCCCAUCUCCCUGCACACACACACGCACACACAUGCACUAACACACACACACACACACACACCCCACUGAAAGCCUGGCUUCCAAUCUGACUUGCCAAACAAAUUCCUGCGUGAACAUAAGAAGCCUCCCCACGUCUCCCCAGCCAGGCCCCAGUGUGGUUGGGGCAUGUACUCAGAGCUCAGGAAAUCAGACUCUCAGGGACGGAAGUAGUUAGGACAAAGGACAGCACUCCAGGCUGCCGGCUUUGGACCGUUGCCCUCUGCCUGACACGCUUUUCUCCCUGUGCCUGGCCAAAUCCUACUGACCCUUCAAGUCCCACCCUAAAGGUCACUUUCCCCAGGAAGGCUUCAGAGCCACCCCUGCACCAAGUACAGCUAUGGCAGACACACAUCAAGGCGACCCCCAAUGAGUCACGCCCUCGUGCCAUCCCCUCGACCUUGAGCGCAGGCUGAGCCUGUGACAGCUCCUAGCCGGUAGAAUGUGGCAGAGGUGACGGGCUGUCACUCCCAUGGACACGUUACACAGCAUAAGAAUUCAUCUUAACACACCAGAGGGAGAGGUUCUGCUUACAGACUGAGGAGCAGUCGCCUGCGUGCCGUCAGGGGGCCUUUGGAGAAGCCCACCUGGCGGAGGGUCUGUAGGACCUAAGGGCAGCCUCUGGCGGACAACCAGCAAAAAGCUGGGCCUGCAAUCACGCGGGCCCAUAGAAUUGAAUCCUGGCGUCAACCGGAACCAGCUUGGAAGUGAACUCCUUCCUAGUCGAGCCUCCAGUGUGGAAGCCCCAUGAGAAGAGAAAUGGAGCCUGUCUUUCUCAUCGCUGUGCCCAGCACGUUUUUGUUCGAGGGCAACUGGUUGCAGGCAGACCGGGGAAAAAACGUCUUGGAAACAUUUGCAGGACCACAGAGCUUUUAGAGUCGAGGAGAGUGACAAACAUUUUGGCAAGUGAGAAGUGCGGCUGUGCUAGCAGCUGAUGAAGGUUUCUGCUGUGGAGGGGCAGCCUGGGAGCCAAGAGAGACGACAGCAAGGAGCGGUGGCGACCUGGUAGCACGGAAAAUGAGUCACAGCUCGGUGAUCCUGGGCAAGAUCCAUAAAGUGGGCUUCAGAAGGAUCUGCCCCAUAGCAUCAUUGUGAGGACCCCAGGUGCUCAGAUGGGGCGAAGAGCUCAGGGAGGAAGAGCUGAGAAAUGCACACCGCUACGAUGCCCUUCACCUCCCGGUGACUGUGCCGGGGCAGGUGCCCGGCCUGGGUGCUGGGGGCCUGAAGCCCCUGUCUGUGUUCCCCAGGGAAGGCGGCUGGCAAGCAGGUUCCCUGCUGCUCACCGCUGGCUGUAGGGUGCCUCUGCUUCGCACUGCACCACCCACUUUCACCCUGCUGACCCCGGGUCCAGGCUUGGGGCGGGGGCGGGGGGAUCACCCUCCAGAUUUUUCUCCUGUAAAACAACUAAGCAACAUCUUCUAACUCAGUUGUUCCCGGAAGUGCUGCAUUUUGGGUUUUGGGGUCUGCUGCGUGAAGGAAACUGAU